CGUACUUAGAACGACGCCUCCC
rnacentral:siRNA from 1 species